UCCGGCAUGGUGUAGUGGCUAGCAUUUCCGCCUCUCAUGCGAAGCCUCACAGUUUCGAUCAAGUCGCGGGAGACCGGGGUUCAAUUCCCCGUACCGGAA
rnacentral:tRNA from 1 species